CCCUUAGAUGUUCUGGGCUGCACGCGUGCUACAAUGGCGUUUCCAGCAAGUCUGCGAACCCGAGAGGGCCAGCGGAUCUUCGAAUUGGCGUCGUGAUCGGGACAGUCGAUUGCAAUUAUUUGACUCAAACGAGGAAUUCCUUGUAAUCGCGAUUCAUCAUAUCGCGCUGAAUACGUCCCUGCCCUUUGUACACACCGCCCGUCGCUCCGACCGAUUGAGCGAUCCGGUAAAUGUUUUGGAUUGGUGCCGGGGCGGCUAGCUGCCGGUCGCUACGAAAUUUUGUGAACCUUAUCGCUUAGAGGAAGGAAAAGUCGUAACA
rnacentral:rRNA from 1 species